GAUGAACGCUGGCGGCGUGCCUAAUACAUGCAAGUCGAGCGAACGGACGAGAAGCUUGCUUCUCUGUUGUUAGCGGCGGACGGGUGAGUAACACGUGGAUAACCUACCUAUAAGACUGGGAUAACUUCGGGAAACCGGAGCUAAUACCGGAUAAUAUUUUGAACCGCAUGGUUCAAAAGUGAAAGACGGUCUUGCUGUCACUUAUAGAUGGAUCCGCGCUGCAUUAGCUAGUUGGUAAGGUAACGGCUUACCAAGGCAACGAUGCAUAGCCGACCUGAGAGGGUGAUCGGCCACACUGGAAGUGAGACACGGUCCAGACUCCUACGGGAGGCAGCAGUAGGGAAUCUUACGCAAUGGGCGAAAGCCUGACGGAGCAACGCCGCGUGAGUGAUGAAGGUCUUCGGAUCGUAAAACUCUGUUACUAGGGAAGAACAUAUGUGUAAGUAACUGUGCACAUCUUGACGGUACCUAAUAAGAAAGCCACGGCUAACUACGUG
rnacentral:rRNA from 1 species